UUCCAGACUCCUACGGGAGGCAGCAGUGGGGGAUAUUGCACAAUGGGGGGAACCCUGAUGCAGCGACGCCGCGUGGGUGAAGGAGUGCUUCGGCAUGUAAAGCCCUAUCGGCAGGGAAGAAGCAAGACGGUACCUGACUAAGAAGCCCCGGCUAACUACGUGCCAGCAGCCGCGGUAAUACGUAGGGGGCGAGCGUUAUCCGGAUUCACUGGGUGUAAGGGGAGCGUAGACGGCCAUGCAAGCCAGGGGUGAAAGCCCGGGGCCCAACCCCGGGACUGCCCUUGGAACUGCAUGGCUGGAGUGCGGGAGGGGCAGGCGGAAUUCCUGGUGUAGCGGUGAAAUGCGUAGAUAUAUGGAAGAACACCAGUGGCGAAAGCGGCUCUCUGGUCUGUAACUGACGCUGAGGUUCGAAAGCGUGGGUAGCAAACAGGAUUAGAUACCCCUGUAAC
rnacentral:rRNA from 1 species